AGGCAAAUGCAAAUGUUUAUAAGGACAGUGACCCAAACUUCACCCUUUGUCUAAGCAAACUAGCACCCCUCCUUUCUCCUAUAGUCUCUCUUAUUUCCAUUUUACCUACCAUGAACUUCAUCUACACCUUCUUUUCCUCAUGGGGUGGCUGCAAUCCCUCUUCUCUCCAUUGAAGAAGCUUUUGGUUCGUCUUCACUCUGCUCCCAAGAAGAGAAGAGGGAUAUAUAUCCUGUACGAGGAUGUUAAGUCUUGCCCUUGUGAAGAUGUUCAAGUGCUUUGGUCCAUACUAGUGGAGUCGCAUCCACGACCAAAAUGAGGGUCUUUACAUAAAAGCACAAAAAAAGAAGGGGAGAUUUACAGUCACAUGUACAUAGAUUACAACACUUUUGUCCCACAUAGGUUUUUUUUCCCCUCCCUUCAUUCAUGUUUGCAUCUUCAAUCUUUUGUGAGUGAGGUUCACCUUAAAGUCUUUAUAUUAUUGAAAUUAUUAUGUCUUUCACUUAUUGUGAGUGUGUUGUUCUUCGCAAUUUGGUAAAUACUUGUAAAUAAGUGUGAUGCGAGUGAGUUCAGGAAUAGUGGAGGACAAGAAGGUAGAAGAAAAGAGGAUCUUUCUGAAAUUCAAACACCAGACUUCUGCAGUAUAGGAUGGAAUCUUUAAAUGUUUUGUUUGCAAAUUGAUGACAAUUUUAAGAGGUUCUGCAUA